CAGGAAUGUAUACCACCACCACGACGCACAUCUCGGCACUGAGGGCAGAUCUGGUGGCUGGGGCCACCCUGCAGUCCCAGAUCGUGGCUGAACUCUGUGGUCCUGAUUCAUCUCCCUAGAAGACUGGGUGAACUUGAAUUCUUCUCCCUUUCAAAGAGCUUUUUCCCCUGAAUCCCUUUUACAAUCUGAAGAAAAGGAAGAAAGCCGGAGGAAGCUUAACAUGAGAUGCAAGUGGAGCCUGAUGCUGCAGUGCGUGGCAGAAGCCUUAGCUUAGAAGCAACAGUUCUACUAGAAAUCAUGUUACAGAUUAUGUACUUCUUUGGAAUGGCCAUGAGAAAAAUGCGUUCCCACAGUAUCGUCAAAGGAACUACAUCCAGCACCAGAUUUUCCUACCAACCAAAUACAGGGGCUAAGAGUCUGGCAGCUCAUAACUUGGUACUCGUGACUCCAGCUGAUACAUUCACAUCAUAA
rnacentral:lncRNA from 1 species